rnacentral:rRNA from 1 species
CGUGUGCUUACAAGUAGUCAGAGCCCGUUAAUGGGUGAUGGCGUGCCUUUUGUAGAAUGAACCGGCGAGUUACGAUUUGAUGCAAGGUUAAGCAGUAAAUGUGGAGCCGUAGCGAAAGCGAGUCUGAAUAGGGCGUUUAGUAUUUGGUCGUAGACCCGAAACCAGGUGAUCUACCCUUGGUCAGGUUGAAGUUCAGGUAACACUGAAUGGAGGACCGAACCGACUUACGUUGAAAAGUGAGCGGAUGA